CAGUCGCCACGGGAACACGUAGGGUGCAAGCGUUAAUCGGAAUUACUGGGCGUAAAGCGUGCGCAGGCGGUUAUAUAAGACAGAUGUGAAAUCCCCGGGCUCAACCUGGGAACUGCAUUUGUGACUGUAUAGCUAGAGUACGGCAGAGGGGGAUGGAAUUCCGCGUGUAGCAGUGAAAUGCGUAGAUAUGCGGAGGAACACCGAUGGCGAAGGCAAUCCCCUGGGCCUGUACUGACGCUCAUGCACGAAAGCGUGGGGAGCGAACAGGAUUAGAUACCCCUGUAGUCCCUGUCUCUUAUAC
rnacentral:rRNA from 1 species